CCGGGCUCGGAGCGGGUGGUCUCGGUCCCGGCGCUGCAGAGCCAGGCUCGGGAGCCCGCGAUGCAGGAGGUCCAGGGGCUGCUGCAGCCUGCGCGAGCCUCGCCACCGUGCAGUGUGCUUUGGCUGUCCCUUGAGGCCUGGUAGGCUUCCGGCUGGAGGCCAGAGAGGGAACUUGGCUGGGGGCUGUGAGGCUGGCUGGAGCCCAGGAAGGAGCCCAGGAAGGCCCUGCAGGUGUUCCAGUCUCCAGGGAAUCUGACAUCCGUGCUGGUUCCUACCUCUGCUCUGGUUUUGAAUGAAGGAUCAGUGGACUGAUGGAAUCGAAGAUGAGAGAAUCUGGAAAUAAAUGUGACUUCUUCGGCCCUGUAAGAUCUUACUCUUGAAACUAGAGACUGAAUUUCAGAGCUGCAAGAGGUGAAGAGCCCUAGGCGGCCCCCUGGUUGACGGAGAGCCGAGACUUGCUCAGGGACACACAGCAGACGAGGAAGCUGAGAUCCUGACCAAUAAAAUGAGCGGCACCAACUUCACAGGACAUCAGUGGCAGAGCUGGGGCAGUGUCCCCUGAGUCUGCCCAUCUGCGAAUCUGGUGGUCCUCAGGCUCCGGAGUGCCCUCGAGUCCCAUGGGAGCAUCUACAGCUCCUGCAUGCCCCGCGCAGGGCGGGUCCACUGUGUGCAUCUUUGUAGCAGCCUUCCCAGGUGCUUCUGAUGCGCAGCAGAGUUGAGAAUGCCUGGAGUGAGGUUUCAGUGCUCAAACCCAGCAGCUUUGCUCAGUGAUGAGACGAAGAGAAGCAUCAUCCACCACUUGAGUACUGAGUGAUUUCAUCUAGGACAACUGUUCACAGAUUUCUUUUCCUCGGACUGAGUCAGACCAUGCAGGUAUGACUACCUAUGUGUUCCAUGCUGACCCACUGCCCACACUGAGAGUUCAGAAUCCACAAGUCAGCAGACUUUAUUGGGCACCUGCUGAGUGUGAGGCAGGGGGUGCUGAGUUGGACACCACAGACAGCACCUCCAGAGGCCAGGAAGCUCCCCUUAGC